UACUAAUUUUAAAAAUUUUUCAGUUCCAGUAUUUUUUUAGUGUGGCUGCCGGCUGCCAGGCAACCCCACAUUUUUUAGAAAAAAAUUGUGGGCACCCUUGAAGAAUGGCCUUAAGAGAGUACAGUUUUGGAUUUCCCAACAUUUUUUGAAAUAAUAAGUUAUUUAUUCCUAUUUUGUUUUUCUCUCUUUUAUGUUUUCAUUGUAUUGCAACACUAUUUACUUCAGCUAUUGGGAAACUUAGAAUUCUGAUACAUCAACUGGUGGCUAAAGCUAUAACUACUCAAAGUAGGCUAAAUCAUGAAUGCUUACAUGCGUCUAUACGUCUAUCAGCUAAUAUAAAUAACAAAUAAUUCUCUCUAAAAUUGUUGUGUUUCUUAUGAAUUAAAAAAUUGUUUUCAUUCAAUUAAAAAUAAAAUUUCUAAUUUAUAAACAUGGAAUUUCCAUUAAAAAGAAGUAAAAGUAACAUAUAUUGUUUGUAUGGUUGUGAAAGUCGUUGAUUUUUUAAUGUUCGUCGAAAAAUUGCAAACGUGGUUACUUUGAAAAAUAAAAUGGAUCAUGAAGAUCAAUUCGACCGUUUUGAUGAUUGCUGACAUAAAUAAAACAGUUUUGCUACCACGUGCUUACAUGAACCAUCAAACCAACUUAAGGCAGGGCCGCACCUAACGAAAUCCUGAAUUAAAAAAUUCUAAUUACUUUUUGAAUAUUUAUGGGACUCGGAUGAUGAAAAUCUUCCGAGGAAGUUCGUCUUCGGCUGUUAGUCGGAAGCUAAGAAAAUUGCUGUUAUGAUAAUUAUUUAAUAAAUAAUUAGAAUUCUUAAAUUCAGGAUUCCGUUAGGUGCGGCCCAGCCUUAACAAGGAAAACUCAGACCCACGAUCCUUCCACCUUUGAGAACUUGACCAUUUAUUUUAUCCGGAACAUCUUGAAUACUUGAUGAUUAAAGACAAAAAGUAAUAAUUUUUAAACAAUUAUUGUCCUCACAAACUUUACCAAAGUUCAACAAGCGUCCGUGAUUUAUUGUAUUUUCAUCGCCGGUAAAAUUUUUACUUUGAGGUGUUCCACUAACAAAUUGACAAAUGUGAUGAAUUGAAACACGCAUUAUUUACUGUAAUAAUCUUUAACACUUAUAAUAAUUUAAAUAAAUUAUCAAAACAUAAAUAAGCCAGUUGAUUUUAUAUAGUAAACAUUCAGAGUAGCCUACUUUGAUUAGUUUAUUUUUUGGCCACCAGAUGACUAAUAUCUAAGCUACGCCAAUUCUAAGGUUCCCAAUAGAUAAACUCUACUGUACUUGAUGUAACUGAUUAUUCAAGAUAACUAUUUUUUAACAAACCCUGUUUGGCUCAUCCCAGCUCUAGAUAUUUUCCACAUUGAACUUUUGAUCUCAAACUCGAUACUCCGUGAUAACUCUUGGUCUUGUGAAAUCAAAAAUCUAGUCAUACGCAACUCAAAUAAAUUUUCCAUCGUAUUUUUAUUUUUCACAGUAGUACAUUUAUUAGUUUAUGAGAUUAAUUUUACGUCUAAAAUAAUUUAUCACAAAAAAACAUUUGUAAUCGGAGAAGUCAAAGGACACGAUUUGUCAAUAUAUAAAAGUCAGCAAUCCGCGGAUCAGUCACAUACAGGCUUGCAGAACUUGAGAAAUCGACAAUCGCUUCUUGAUAUAAAAUAAAAAAAUGUCGAAAAUAAUAUUAUUAUUAUCAAUUUUCGUAUUGGUUGCUAUAUAUUCUGGUGUAUACGCAGCAUGUCCUGGCGGUUGGUGCCAUCCAGCACAUGGAUAUGGCUGUUGUGAAGGAAAUGAAUGCAGUCAUCAUUAUAGUGACGGCACAUGCAUUACUCAUGCAGAAGCGGAUGCAUUUAGAUCUGCGUAUGGAGAUAAAUGAUAACAGUACAAUGAAAAUUGAUAAAUAUAUUUUAUAUAUUUAAUUAAUAAAAAUCUCUCAUUUGCUGAAAAAAA